GACGAACGCUGGCGGCGUGCUUAACACAUGCAAGUCGAACGGACAGGCCCUGCUUUUGUGGGGUGCUCGAGUGGCGAACGGGUGAGUAACACGUGUGUAAACUGCCCUUGACUUUGGGAUAACUUUAGGAAACUGGGGAUAUUACCGGAUAGGAGAUCCUGCUGCGUGGUGGGGGAUGGAAAGUUUCGGCGGUGGGGGCUGGACUCGCGGCUUAUCCGCUUGUUGGUGGGGUAGUGGCUUACCAAGGCUUUGACGGGUAGCCGGCCUUGGAGGGUGACCGGCCACCUGGGGACUGAGAUACGGCCCAGACUCCUACGUGAGGCAGCAGUGGGGAGUAUGACACAGUGGGCGGAAGCCUGAUGCAGCAACGCCGCGUUCGGGAUGACGUCCUUCGGGUUGUAAACCGCUUUCUCCUUAGACGAAGCGUGAGUGACGGUAAUGGGUAAAGAAGCACCGGCUAACUACGUG
rnacentral:rRNA from 1 species